AUGAGAGGUAAUUCCUUUUGUGCUGAGGUGGAUAAAAUCUCACUGCACAUAGCCUACUACUUCAGUGCCCUCAAGAAUUCUGUGGUGUACGAACCUCCUCUCCAAGAAAAGAAAAUGCAGAGAAGACUCACCACUCGGCAGGCCUUGGAAAUGAUCCUGAGUGAAGUAAACCCUUGUGACUCAGAUGGAGAAGACAUAGAACUUCAGCCGGAUUCGGACUCAGAGCUGUCUGAUCUGUCUUCAGAUGAGGAGACUGCUCCUCAACCAAAAAAGAGAGCCCGUUUGGGGACUGACCUGACAGAGACAGCGAAAGAUGGCACAGUGUGGCGUGAAGAACAGGUGGGGACGCGUCUCCCUUUCACCCCAAUCAAAGCGUACGCUGCAGAUGGAGAGCCAACGGCUAAGGCCAGGAAAAGUAUCUCGAGUCGCCUUCAGAGCUUCCUGUGUUUCAUCACUCUUGACAUGCUUCAUAGCAUUCAAGAAUGGACUAUUCAACAUGCACAGGAAACGGAGCAUGUUCAUUGGUUCAUGGCCCUCCCUGAACUAAUGGCAUUUAUUGCAAUUGUCAUCUUGCGGGGGCUUACCAAGGUUCCAUCACUACGUGACUGCUGGUCAGCAAACCUGGGAAACCCACAUAUCAUUGGAACAAUGCCGCGAAACCGCUUCCAAGACAUCAUGCGACACCUACGCUUUGAUGACAGGUCCACCCGGAGUGAUCGAGCAAAGACUGAUAAGUUUGCUGCAAUUUCCAGUGUGUGGGGAUCAUUUGUCACCAAUUGCAUCACGUCCUACAACCCUGGUCUACAUAUCACCGUUGAUGAACAGCUUUUCCCAUCAAAGACUCGCUGCUGUUUCCUGCAGUAUAUUGCAACUAAACCUGACAAGGUUGGGAUCAAGUUUUGGGUGGCUUGCGACCUAAAAUCCAAGUACAUUUGUAAUGUCCUCCCAUAUCUUGGCAAGGACCCUAGUCGUCCCAGUGGAGAGAGACUGUCUGAAAAUGUAGUGAUGAGGCUGAUGGAACCAUUCCUAGACAAGGGCAAAAAUGUUACCACGGACAAUUUCUUCACAUCGCUGUCACUUGCGCAUAAACUUCUUAGCCAGAAAACCACCAUCCUCAGACAGCGAUAGCGCAAAAGGUCGUGGGUUCAGUUCCCAGAGAACACACAUACUGGGAAAAAAAAUAAUAAUAAUAAUAAAAUGUAUAGCCUAAAUGCA
ensembl:lncRNA